UACGAAGGGGCUAGCGUUGCUCGGAAUCACUGGGCGUAAAGCGCACGUAGGCGGAUUGCUAAGUCAGGGGUGAAAUCCUGGAGCUCAACUCCAGAACUGCCUUUGAUACUGAGGAUCUUGAGUACGGGAGAGGUGAGUGGAACUGCGAGUGUAGAGGUGAAAUUCGUAGAUAUUCGCAAGAACACCAGUGGCGAAGGCGGCUCACUGGCCCGUUACUGACGCUGAGGCACGAAAGCGUGGGAGCAACAGG
rnacentral:rRNA from 1 species